AAUAGAUACCCCGGUAGUCCACGCCGUAAACGAUGGAUGCUAGCUGUUAUGCGUAUCGACCCGUGUAGUAGCGAAGCUAACGCGUUAAGCAUCCCGCCUGGGGAGUACGAACGCAAGUUUAAAACUCAAAGGAAUUGACGGGGACCCGCACAAGCGGUGGAGCGUGUUCUUUAAUUCGAGGCUAAGCGAAGAACCUUACCAGGGCUUGACAUCCUUGGAAUUUCUCCGAAAGGAGAGAGUACUUUAUUGGACCAAGUGACAGGUGCUGCAUGGCCGUCGUCAGCUCGUGUCGUGAGAUGUUUGGUUAAGUCCAUUAACGAGCGCAACCCUUAUGAAUAGUUGUAUUUUUCUAUUCAGACUGCCCCGGUAACGGGGAGGAAGGGGGGGAUGAUGUCAGGUCAGUAUUGCCCUUACGCCCUGGGCUAGAAACGCGCUACAAUGGCCGGUACAAUGCGCUGCCAACCCGCGAGGGGGAGCAAAUCGCAUCAAAGCCGGUCCCAGUUCGGAUAAGAGGCUGAACUCGCCUCUUGAAGCCGGAAUCGCUAGUAUCGU
rnacentral:rRNA from 1 species